rnacentral:rRNA from 1 species
UACGGGGGGGGCAAGCGUUGUUCGGAAUUACUGGGCGUAAAGGGCGCGUAGGCGGUUCGAUAAGUCAGCUGUGAAAACCAUGGGCUUAACUCAUGGCCUGCAGUUGAGACUGUCGGGCUGGAGUGUGGGAGAGGAGAGUGGAAUUCCUGGUGUAGCGGUGAAAUGCAUAGAUAUCAGGAGGAACACCGGUGGCGAAGGCGGCUCUCUGGACAGUUCCUGACACUGAGACACGAAGGCCAGGGGAGCAAACGGG